rnacentral:lncRNA from 1 species
AUGCAAACACCGCAUCUGGGAGAGGAAAGCAGAAGAAGGAAGGUCACAGAAACACAUGGUGUCAUUUCUCCACAAGAACAGAAAGGACACAGCUAUGUUUAUUGUUCUGUGCAUUCAUUAUCCACUGGCUUUUUUUUUUUUUUUUUUUUUGAAAGAGUCUCACUUUGUUGCCCAGGCUGGAGUGCAGUGAGCGAUCUCAGGUCACUGCAACCUCCGCCUCCAGGAUUCAAGCGAUUCUCCUGCCUCAGCCUCCUGAGUAGCUGGGAUUACAGGCGUUUGUAGCCACUGUAAUCUGCAGUUUGGGGCAUGUGCUGCCAGAGACUUUUCUGCCACUAUGCACAGAAGUAGGUUAGGGAUUUUAGAAUUAUGAUGAUAUUUUAUUUUGUUUUCCAGAACAUGAUUAUGCUCUACAUAUUGUUCUGCAAUUUGCUUUUUCACUUAAUAAAUACACUUCAGCUAUCUCUAUCAGUGAAUAUUUUAAACUGUUGAAUAGUGUUCUAAUAUAUGGUUCUAAUAUAUAGUACAACUUUAUAAAACUGUUUC